rnacentral:misc_RNA from 1 species
GGGAUUCUUAAAACCAGAUGGAGUCCGAAUAUUUGGGUAUGCUCGAACAAAGCUCUCAGAUGAUGGUUUAAGAGAUCGCAUCCGUGGAUAUCUUAGCGUUGGAAAUGGAUCUUCAUCUGAGCAGUCAGAAGUACUAUCCAAGUUUUUGCAACUGAUAAAAUAUGUCAGUGGUUCUUAUGACAGUGAGGAUGGUUUUCUACUGUUAAAUAAAGAAAUUUCAGAGCAUGAGCUAUCGAGAAAUCUACCAGGAAACUCUAACAGAUUGUUUUAUCUUGCACUCCCUCCAUCUGUUUACCCAUCUGUCUGCAAGAUGAUUAGAAGUUAUUGCAUGAACCAAUCUAAUCUGAGUGGGUGGGUUCGUAUCGUUGUUGAAAAGCCUUUUGGGAAGGACUUGAGUUCUGCUGAAGAACUAAGCACCCAACUUGGGGAGUUGUUUGAGGAACAACAGCUUUACCGUAUUGAUCACUACUUGGGAAAGGAGUUGGUGCAAAACAUGCUGGUCCUUCGUUUUGCGAAUCGGUUCUUCUUACCUCUUUGGAAUCGUG